rnacentral:rRNA from 1 species
UACGUAGGGGGCAAGCGUUGCUCGGAAUUACUGGGCGUAAAGCGCGUGUAGGCGGCUAAGCAAGUCGGGCGUGAAAUCCCACCGCUCAACGGUGGAAGUGCACCCGAAACUGCAUAGCUAGAGUCCUGGAGAGGAAGGUGGAAUGCUUGGUGUAGAGGUGAAAUUCGUAGAUAUCAAGCGGAACACCGGUGGCGAAGGCGGCCUUCUGGACAGUGACUGACGCUGAGACGCGAAAGCGUGGGGAGCAAACAGG